rnacentral:rRNA from 1 species
AGAGUUUGAUCAUGGCUCAGGACGAACGCUGGCGGCGUGCCUAAUACAUGCAAGUCGAACGAACUCUGGUAUUGAUUGGUGCUUGCAUCAUGAUUUACAUUUGAGUGAGUGGCGAACUGGUGAGUAACACGUGGGAAACCUGCCCAGAAGCGGGGGAUAACACCUGGAAACAGAUGCUAAUACCGCAUAACAACUUGGACCGCAUGGUCCGAGCUUGAAAGAUGGCUUCGGCUAUCACUUUUGGAUGGUCCCGCGGCGUAUUAGCUAGAUGGUGGGGUAACGGCUCACCAUGGCAAUGAUACGUAGCCGACCUGAGAGGGUAAUCGGCCACAUUGGGACUGAGACACGGCCCAAACUCCUACGGGAGGCAGCAGUAGGGAAUCUUCCACAAUGGACGAAAGUCUGAUGGAGCAACGCCGCGUGAGUGAAGAAGGGUUUCGGCUCGUAAAACUCUGUUGUUAAAGAAGAACAUAUCUGAGAGUAACUGUUCAGGUAUUGACGGUAUUUAACCAGAAAGCCACGGCUAACUACGUGCCAGCAGCCGCGGUAAUACGUAGGUGGCAAGCGUUGUCCGGAUUUAUUGGGCGUAAAGCGAGCGCAGGCGGUUUUUUAAGUCUGAUGUGAAAGCCUUCGGCUCAACCGAAGAAGUGCAUCGGAAACUGGGAAACUUGAGUGCAGAAGAGGACAGUGGAACUCCAUGUGUAGCGGUGAAAUGCGUAGAUAUAUGGAAGAACACCAGUGGCGAAGGCGGCUGUCUGGUCUGUAACUGACGCUGAGGCUCGAAAGUAUGGGUAGCAAACAGGAUUAGAUACCCUGGUAGUCC